CUGUGAGGCUCCUUCCUUUGAACUUCUCCUUCAGCAUUCCUUUCACCUGAAAUGGCCACAGUUAAAGUGAUGAUCACAAGGUGUUGGAGAGAGGAAGAAAGUCUUUAGGCUGCCAUUAUUUGAAAACUACAUCAUGAUUUCACCAUCUAUACACUGAGGUUGCAGAUUCUAGGUAAGUGUCAGACACCUCCUCUACUC
rnacentral:lncRNA from 1 species